UACACCCAUGAUGAACUCAGCUUCCAGGAAGCAGAUGCUUGAUGAGGCUGUGCUUAAUUUCAUUGUAAAGGACUGCCAGCCCCUCGCUGUUGUGGAGAAUGAAGGGUUCAGGGAGCUGGUUCAGCUCCUUGAGCCCUCAUAUGUUUUGCCAACCAGAAAGGUUUGUGUGGAAAUUAUCUAAAGUGGUAGUUUAUUCAUCAAAUUUAUUUUAAAUAUAUUGAUUUUCUUCUGGUUUGACUUGGUGUGGUUUUCAGACCAUCAAACAACUGUUGGCCAAAAAGUACGAGGAGGAACGGGAACGAGUGAAAAUGGAAGUACAGCAGGCUGUGGCAAUGACCUUUGGGAACAUUUUGAUCUCGAAGUGGGGAGGCAGACCAAAAGUGCCACAGCUGAUGCCAUCCUUGAGGUGCAGAGAUACAUGGCAGAGGGCAAUAUUGCGAGGUCCCAGGAUCCUCUUUUAUAUUGGAAAAACCAAAGGACGGUUUAUCCAAACCUCUUCCG